rnacentral:telomerase_RNA from 1 species
UCGCGCGACGCCUCCCCUUCAGUUCUCCGACUCUCAUUUUCCGCAAGGAAUGUCUAUCGCAGACCUCUCAGAAAGGGCUGGCAAUCCGCGAUACGUCGUAACCGAGCCUGUAUCAGGACUUCGUGCUUGCUGCGUGUGGAUCUAUCGCGGCCCAUGGUUGUCCAUUCCAGACAAUGCAGCCCUCCUGAGAGAAUGAGACUCGGAACUUAACCCUAAGUAGCCUAUUGGUUCAAGUUUUGCGCCCGGAGUCGUCGACCCCUCCUUUUAAACCCACCCGGCCUUCCGUGAUGCUCUUACCGCUGAAAAGUGGUGUUGCUGAUCGGAGCCACGGUGGAUGGACCGGAAGGGAAGACAUUCCAGUCACCGUCUGGUGCUCAAGAGGGGGUUGCUAUGAGUCGUUUGGGUAAGAGCCUCUGGUCCGAGGCCGCUCGUCAGGAUCUAUCCGCUGGAACCAGUACUCUGACCAAGAGUGGAUCGCCUCGGGAAGAGGGCAGACUGGUCUGACAGGAUCGAGCCGGCAAUGUUCUGCUUUCCCGAUCUUUCGCCAUGUCUGUACACUUGGCUGGCUUCGGUGCCUUGGAGGCUGUGGGAAGAGCAACGCAUCGGCUACACACAGUCAUCAUCGAAGUUUCUGUAGGCGUACUUGCCUUGCUCUCGCCUCGCUAGUCACACUCCGGUGUUGCAAGGGGUUCAAGGCUACGAACGGAAACUAUUCGGUUUGACAACCCCAUCGUCAUGCGGCUAGCUCUCGGCACCCACAUCUCCAAGCACAACUCGGGACUCGACUAGCAGACAAGAGUCGCCUGCAUCGGAUCCUGCAGCCAUUCGGCUUCUCCCCUGGCCACACCAUGGCAUCUGCCACGGAUGUGACAUGCUUGCAUGUGAUCUGGUCAGGCGCAUUAGCCUCCCGUCGUGGGUUCUGUCCCACGACACCGGAGGACGCCAAACCCUUCUUGUUCCCAUUCGGGAGCAAGAUUUGCCCGAUGGCCAUCUAGAAAUGGAAGCCAACGGAUGACAGCGCGGUUUUUGUGGAUGUUCUUUGUCCGCGCGGAAUGCCCUCCUUUGGUGGCCUUCACAGUCCAAUUUCGGAGAGGAAACAUAAAACCAGUCCUCGGAGACCGUGCGAUCCGAACAGAGAGGGCUUCUUUCCUUUGCUGGGGGAUAUGCAGACUGCAAUUCAGCUCGCCGAAAUCCUGCUUGGCGGUGUAAGUGAUGGUUGAGGCUCGUGAGCGAGGGACACGGUACGCGAACCCUGCGAGACUCUCUAAUGGCUGGUGUUGACUGGUCGGAAACAUCUGAAGCGGCCCUGGGACCCAUCUCGUGUUGGAGUCAAAGUCUUGUGCUUGUCCGGGACCGCCAAGGGUGUGGACUGCCGGUCUUGCUCAGUCGCUCGGAGCUCCCGCUGUUGGACCACAAGGACAGGCCAUUGGAAGGGUAGUCCUGGUUGUCAUCUCUCCAGAAAUGGCGGGAUGGCAACCCC